ACGGGGGCAGCAGUGGGGGAUAUUGCGCAAUGGGGGAAACCCUGACGCAGCAACGCCGCGUGAAGGAAGAAGGUUUUCGGAUCGUAAACUUCUUUAAAUGGGGAAGAUAAUGACGGUACCCACAGAAUAAGCCACGGCUAACUACGUGCCAGCAGCCGCGGUAAUACGUAGGUGGCGAGCGUUGUCCGGAUUUACUGGGUGUAAAGGGCGUGUAGGCGGGACUUUAGGUCAGAUGUGAAAUACCGAGGCUUAACCACGGAGCUGCAUUUGAAGCCGGAGUUCUUGAGUGUCGGAGAGGAAAGCGGAAUUCCUAGUGUAGCGGUGAAAUGCGUAGAUAUUAGGAGGAACACCGGUGGCGAAGGCGGCUUUCUGGACGAUAACUGACGCUGAGGCGCGAAAGCGUGGGGAGCAAACAGGAUUAGAUACCCUGGUA
rnacentral:rRNA from 1 species